rnacentral:lncRNA from 1 species
AAGGAGAGCAUGGGAUCCCUCUGUCCCCUUCAAGAACAAGGACCUCAAUUAUUUGAAAACCUCCCACUAAGCCUCAACUCAGUUUCUACCACCUUCCAAUAGUGCCAAACUGGGGAAUGAGCCACACACCUCUAGAGCACACUUAGAUAAACCAUAUCUGCUUCCAAAAUAUUAUUUCUUUAUUAUAAAUUGAAAAAAAAAUUUAUCUCACCUCUCUCAUCACAGCUGUUCUUCUUAUGGUACAAACUGCAAAACACUCUGUAAUAACUCCCCAGAAGAGGUCUCACUGGUGGCACAAGCCCAGAUGCCUCCUGCGAGGAUGGUGAGAAAUAGUUCUCAGCCCUAGACUCAGCCAUUCCAGAAGCACACAAAAGAAGGCGGGGAUGAUUCGGAGGACUGACAUAGGAGUGGACCUUCGGGUUGCUGGGUCAGGACUGCUUGACUUUGGCAAAGAUCCUCUUAGAAUCAACUACAGCUAUAGAACCAUGCCAAACAUCCCCACUCCUCCUCAUUCCAAGUGCAUACUUCCUGCUGCCAGUAAAACUACAUGGAUGGUGAAAGAAUGAGCCGAGAUCCAUAGAAGCAACAUACAUGCCAGGCAGGUGAGAAUUUAUUGGAGUGUAAUGUGGAAAUUUCACU